UUGAUAACAUGGCAGUGGAGGCUUACAAAACUCAUAGAGCUAUGUGCUGUCAUCACCUUCAUCUCUGCUUUACUCUUAAGAGAUCGGAGUUGAAUAACAACACGACAUAC
rnacentral:snoRNA from 1 species